AGCAGUUUUACUGAAUUUACUAAAACGAUACACUUACAAUCUACUUAAUACAUUUAUGUUUAAGAUGGAAACAUAAUUGUAUUGUUUAAAUUCUAAAUGAAAUUCAACAUAAUCAUCAAAACAUGAUAUAAUCACUUUGCAAGAAAAUGUUCAAAUUGUUUCAGAUUUCAAACUAAUGGUGUUCAUGUAAAAUGAUUUUUUCUGCUGUUUGAUUUAUUUAAUUAAAAUAGGCCCAUGUCACACAAUUACUUUGUAUUUUCUUCUCAACUUAAUUCCAUUGUGUAGGCUAUAAUUAAUCUAAUUCAGGUUUGUGAAAUACGUCGUUUGCGCGGGAGCAACGCGCGCGAGAGCGUCUCCGCAUGCGCUUUGAAAUCCAGACCACACCAGGACCGUUGGUUUGGAAAGGACACAUGAGGGCACUGACUGUCUUUUUUCAAAGCUCGUUAAAAGUGAAAUUUGCUGUACAUUUGGAAUUCCAAAGCCUGUUCAGACAAAUUACGAGCUAAGUCAGUCCCCAACAAAGGCAGUUAGCCUUGUAGAAGUCGGUGAAUUAACUGAUGAAUACCCCUUGGCUGACUAUUUGAUUGGACAUGUGCAGAUGGUUACGUUAAAGAGAUUUGUCUGCUGCAAAGGAUGACAUUGAUGCAGCUUGUGAACUUGCCAUCAGAGGACUGUCUAUCUAUCUUAAUGAGGACUCUAAAGAUCUCAUUCAGGAGUAUGCGGACAUGGAAGAAGAUCUUUUACAGUGUGCAAUUGAGAAGACUACCAUGGGCAUCUUCCUGAUAAAGCACACUGCAGACAAUGAAGCCCAUGAUGUGAACUCUCUAUCAAGGCCCAAUUUCAAAUCUGAACUCCACCAGUGAGAUGGACUGAUUUUUGAAUGACUACUGAGACUACAAACAAUCAACCUCGGAAAAUUUCAGCAGCCUUCAUGCAAGACCACCGCAGAGGGUAAACCGUGAUCUUGUUGUUUAGACUGUUCCCCUUUGCCUGCUCUGGUUUCUUUAUCUUUUUUUUUUGUCUGAAUUUGGCCCUUCUUUGGACUGGUUCAGAAGUUGAUUGAUUAGAGAGCUGAAUCUAUGAAACAUGGUUGAACUAGCAUAAAUAAGAUACAUUGUUUAUAGUUUAGGUAAGGGUCAGAUACUGUAUUUUCACAUUGUUUUGUAAUGUCUAUAUAUAAUUAUCUUUGAAACGAAAGCGUUUUUCUUGAAAUAACAGUUCCAGGUAGGGCUGCACGAUAUUGGGAAAAAAUGACAUUGCGAUAUUUUAUUUUUCUGCGAUAUAUAUUGCGAUAUGAAAUCUAAUCUAUUUUUUUCUUACAAACAAAAAUUGGGUGA